rnacentral:tRNA from 1 species
AUGUGGCUUAGUGGUAGAGUGCUUGCCUAGCAUGCAUGAAGCCCUGGGUUUGAUUCCUCAGCAU